GCUGCAGACGGAGGAGCUUGAGCUGACUGAGGAAGAAGGAACGAAGGAAGGAGAAGAUGGUGAGAGUGGUGACCGGCUUUGGGAUGUGCGUCGGCGCCUUCCUAUUCUGGUCAACCAUGGACCGUGUCCACGUCUGGAUCGCUCUCCAUCAGGACGAGAAGCUUGAUUAGGUUUUGAAGUGGGUAGGCAUCGUUGCUGCAAUCGAGUGAAUCAGUCGGAAAUUCCGCAUGAAGUUUUGAUUUUUCACCGAGAUUGCUACUAGUGGGGAUUGAUUUUCAUUGUUGAAGACUCAUUUGAGGAAUGUAGAUGCAUCUGAAAUCAUCUAGUCGGGUUUCCGCGGUGGAUGGUUGAUUGGUUGUGUAUCCUUUUCGUUGUUGCAGAAGGAAAGGUUGGAGAAGGAAGCCGAGAUAAGAAGAGUCCGCGAACAGCUGCUGCAGGAGCAGGCCAAGCAAAAGGAAUCGCUUGCGUGAUCUCUUGUGCUUAUUUUCCGUGUCGUGGUCCUUCUUGUCGAAAUGAAACUUUGUCAAUGUAUUCAUUUCCAUAAGUUUCUCGAGACUCGAUUCUAUCAUGAAUACAUGAUUGUUCUGUGAACUACAACACAUGCCUUCUCAUUGGGAAGGCGAAGAACUUGCUCUCGUCUUUCUAUUGCUGCCUCAAUAAACUGCCCUUUCCUUCAA